rnacentral:rRNA from 1 species
CAACGCCGCGUGAGUGAUGAAGGUUUUCGGAUCGUAUAGCUCUGUUGUUAGGGAAGAACAAGUGCAAGAGUAACUGCUUGCACCUUGACGGUACCUAACCAGAAAGCCACGGCUAACUACGUGCCAGCAGCCGCGGUAAUACGUAGGUGGCAAGCGUUGUCCGGAAUUAUUGGGCGUAAAGGGCUCGCAGGCGGUUUCUUAAGUCUGAUGUGAAAGCCCCCGGCUCAACCGGGGAGGGUCAUUGGAAACUGGGAAACUUGAGUGCAGAAGAGGAGAGUGGAAUUCCACGUGUAGCGGUGAAAUGCGUAGAGAUGUGGAGGAACACCAGUGGCGAAGGCGACUCUCUGGUCUGUAACUGACGCUGAGGAGCGAAAGCGUGGGGAGCGAACAGGAUUAGAUACCCUGGUAGUCCACGCCGUAAACGAUGAGUGCUAAGUGUUAGGGGGUUUCCGCCCCUUAGUGCUGCAGCUAACGCAUUAAGCACUCCGCCUGGGGAGUACGGUCGCAAGACUGAAACUCAAAGGAAUUGACGGGGGCCCGCACAAGCGGUGGAGCAUGUGGUUUAAUUCGAAGCAACGCGAAGAACCUUACCAGGUCUUGACAUCCUCUGACAACCCUAGAGAUAGGGCUUUCCCUUCGGGGACAGAGUGACAGGUGGUGCAUGGUUGU